AAGGAAUAUUGCUCAAUGGGAGAAAUCCUGAAGCAGCAACGCCGCGUGGAGGAUGAAGGGUCUAUGACUUGUAAACUCCUGUAAAGAAGGAAAAAAUUCCCAUUAGAUGGGAGAUGAUGGUACUUCUGGAGUAAUCCCCGGCUAACUACGUGCCAGCAGCCGCGGUAAUACGUAGGUGGCAAGCGUUGUCCGGAAUUAUUGGGCGUAAAGCGCGCGCAGGCGGGAUAUCAAGUCUAUCUUAAAAGUUCGGGGCUCAACCCCGUGAUGGGAUGGAAACUGGUAUUCUUGAGUGUCGGAGAGGAAAGUGGAAUUCCCAGUGUAGCGGUGAAAUGCGUAGAUAUUGGGAGGAACACCAGUGGCGAAGGCGACUUUCUGGACGAUGUCUGACGCUGAGGCGCGAAAGCCAGGGGAGUGAACG
rnacentral:rRNA from 1 species